UAAAGGUUCGCCGAUAACGCGAUUAAAAGGGAAUGGAGUGUAAGUCUCCAACUGUCCCGCAGCUGUAAGCUCCUUUAUACCUCUGCCGGCAUGAAAGCCACUGCCCCUUGAUUUCUGUUUUGACGGGCGGGAAGGUUCCGGCGGCGUGGAGCGUAGUCAGAAGACCUGCCUUUAUUGUU
rnacentral:ncRNA from 1 species